rnacentral:tRNA from 1 species
GUGCUUGUGGUGUAGUGGUUAUCACAUCCACCUAACACGCGGAAGGUCCCAGGUUCUACCCCUAGCAGGCAUA